rnacentral:rRNA from 1 species
AGACCUUUAGUUUGAACCCCGAAACCAGGUGAGCUACCCCGAGACAGCCUAUAUUGAUUUAGGGCUAACCCGUCUCUGUGGCAAAAGAGUGGGAAGAGCUCCGGGUAGAAGUGACAGACCUACCGAACCUGGUGAUAGCUGGUUGCCUGAGAAGUGGAUAGAAGUUCAGCCUCGCACACCCCAAGCCAGAGAAUACACCGCUAAGGCACUCAGGGAAAUGUGGGAGAGUUAGUUAAAGGGGGUACAGCCCCUUUAACAAAGGAUACAACCUUUGCAGGAGGAUAAAGAUCAUAAUAUAUAAAACAUGCUGCUCUAGUGGGCCUAAAGGCAGCCACCUAAACAGAAAGCGUUAAAGCUCAGGCAGAAAGAAGUUUAUUAUACCGAUAAAAAAUCUUACUCCCCUAAUUAUAUCAGGCCAACCCAUGCCAACAUGGAAGAGAUUAUGCUAAAAUGAGUAACAAGAAGACCUGCUCUUCUCCCAGCACAAGUGUAAGCCAGAUCGGACUAACCGCUGGAACUUAACGAACCCAACCCAAGAGGGUAGUGUGAAUAGUACAGACCCCAAGAAGAACUCACAACUAAACAAUCGUUAACCCCACACUGGAGUGCUAUUAUAAAGGAAAGACUAAAAGAGGGGGAAGGAACUCGGCAAACACAAGCCUCGCCUGUUUACCAAAAACAUCGCCUCCUGCAACUAUAUUGAGUAUAGGAGGUCCAGCCUGCCCAGUGACUACGGGUUCAACGGCCGCGGUAUUUUGACCGUGCAAAGGUAGCGCAAUCACUUGUCUCUUAAAUAGAGACCUGUAUGAAUGGCUAGACGAGGGCUUAACUGUCUCCCCCCUCCAGUCAGUGAAAUUGAUCUAUCCGUGCAGAAGCGGGUAUAAUUAUACAAGACGAGAAGACCCUUUGGAGCUUAAGGUACAAAAUCCAACCACGUUAAACGACCCCCUAAAGGGCAAGAACUUAGUGGCCAAUGAAGUUUUACCUUCGGUUGGGGCGACCACGGAGGAGAAAAAAGCCUCCGAGUGGACUGGGUUAAAACCCAAAGCUAAGAGAUACAUCUCUAAGCCGCAGAACAUCUGACCAAAAGUGAUCCGGCUAAAAAGCCGAUCAACGAACCAAGUUACCCUAGGGAUAACAGCGCAAUCCUCUCCCAGAGUCCAUAUCGACGAGGGGGUUUACGACCUCGAUGUUGGAUCAGGACAUCCUAAUGGUGCAGCCGCUAUUAAGGGU